rnacentral:rRNA from 2 species
CGAAUGGGGAGAUUCAUCGUCAGCUCAUUUUGUAUAUGUAUAAGUUAUGAUGCGGGUUACUACUUGUAGUAUUGCCUGCACAUUCUUGUAUAUUUAGUUGCAAGAUGUUGUCGGCGUGCACUUCUCCCCUAGUAGGACGUCGCGACCUGUUGGGUGUCGGUCUACGGCCCAAGUGAUAGCCUUUAAUGUAAUUUAAAAAACAUUGAAGACCCUUGGUGUUUUCUGACCGGCUACUUGGCAGUAUUCGUACGGUAUUUAGCCGCUAAAUUUAUUAAGCGUCCAUAUCCAUCACAAGCGAGGCUAAUUUACUGAUAGUACGGACCUAGUGCCGUCGUUGGUAUUGGCCAGCUGUUGGUUGA